CUUCUGUGACUCCUACGGGAGGCAGCAGUGGGGAAUAUUGCACAAUGGGCGCAAGCCUGAUGCAGCAACGCCGUGUGAGUGAAGAAGGUUUUCGGAUCGUAAAACUCUGUCCUAAGGGAAGAAACAAAUGACGGUACCUUAGGAGGAAGCCCCGGCUAACUACGUGCCAGCAGCCGCGGUAAUACGUAGGGGGCAAGCGUUAUCCGGAAUCACUGGGCGUAAAGGGUGCGUAGGCGGCUUAGCAAGCCAGGGGUGAAAGGCAUUGGCUCAACCAAUGUAAGCCUUUGGAACUGUUAAGCUUGAGUGCAGGAGAGGUAAGUGGAAUUCCUAGUGUAGAGGUGAAAUUCGUAGAUAUUAGGAGGAACACCAGUGGCGAAGGCGACUUACUGGACUGUAACUGACGCUGAUGCACGAAAGCGUGGGUAGCGAACAGGAUUAGAUACCCUGGUAA
rnacentral:rRNA from 1 species